GGGGGCGAAAUAGGAUAGACAAGGGUGUAAAGGUUGAAAGUUCGCUCGGCAUUGUACCACCGUUAUCGGACUAAAAAUGUAGUUGCAAAUGACAACUUCGCUGGAGAAACUCGCCUGGCCGCUUAGGCAAUGCGAUUUCUCACUUUAAGCCCUGAUGGGUUGCACCAUCAGGCGGGGUUUGGAGGCACCUGGCAACAGAAGCCUCCUUU
rnacentral:tmRNA from 1 species